AMACGACUCUCGGCAACGGAUAUCUCGGCUCACGCAUCGAUGAAGAACGUAGCAAAAUGCGAUACUUGGUGUGAAUUGCAGAAUCCCGUGAACCAUCGAGUUUUUGAACGCAAGUUGCGCCCGAAGCCAUUYGGCCGAGGGCACGUCUGCCUGGGCGUCACGCA
rnacentral:rRNA from 1 species